rnacentral:tRNA from 1 species
GCUCGUCUGGCGCAGCGGGCACUGGUGGCUGAUCGCCGUCGGCGCCGCCGCGAUCGCCGCGGCCUGGUUCUACACCGGGGGCAAGAACC